GAGCGCUUUAGGCCGGCCGGCCGCGCUGGGAAGUGGAGUCGUUGCUGUUGCUGUUUGUGAGCCUGUGGCGCCGCUUCUGUGGGCCGGAACCUUAAAGAUAGCUGCAAUGGCUGAAAAUGGUGAUAAUGAAAAGAUGGCUGCCCUGGAGGCCAAAAUCUGUCAUCAAAUUGAGUAUUAUUUUGGCGACUUCAAUUUGCCACGGGACAAGUUUCUAAAGGAACAGAUAAAACUGGAUGAAGGCUGGGUACCUUUGGAGAUAAUGAUAAAAUUCAACAGGUUGAACCGUCUAACAACAGACUUUAAUGUAAUCGUGGAAGCAUUGAGCAAAUCCAAGGCAGAACUCAUGGAAAUCAGUGAAGAUAAAACUAAAAUCAGAAGGUCUCCAAGCAAACCCCUACCUGAAGUGACUGAUGAGUAUAAAAAUGAUGUAAAAAACAGAUCUGUUUAUAUUGUAAGUGGGCCUGUAAUGCAUUUAAAUAUCUUACAUUUAUUUAGAAAGUAAAGUACGGAAGAAUAAGGGCUCAGGAAUCACAGCCUCACUAAUUACUGUAUGUCCUUUCGUAAUAUUCUUAACCUAAGUUUCUUUUUGUUUUGAGACAGUCUCAUCCUG
rnacentral:sRNA from 1 species